GGUCCUCGCCGCUGCCGCCAUAGCCACGCAGCCGCUGUCUGGUCGUCAUCGUCGUCGCGCUCGCCAGAAACGAGGCAGAGAGCAGCGCCGAGAGGAAGUCCAUCAACCCCAUCGCCGCCGUCGUGCUCGCAAGUAUGGAGGAAGCCCGUUGCUGCCAGCUUUGUCGGAUCUCUGUCAUCGAACCCGUCCUUGCCGCCGCCAUUGGAGUCGCGAAUGGAGGAGGGAGAAGAGGCACGAAAGGGAGCGUCGCGGUGUUGCCGUGGUCAUCGACUAGCUGGGCUUGCCAUCGUCGCGUUUGGGUGGCUGUUGCGCCGCCGUUCGUUGCUGCCUUGUCGCCAUUGAAGCUUCAUGUUGCCGCUUUGACCGCCGGUAACCACCGGUGGAACUCCAUCUUCUCGGGUCGAAUUCCGAGUCUUGCAUGCUGAAUUUAAUGGUUGUUGCCUGCGACAUCAAGCUGCUGCGUCAUCACUGGAGCUGUUGCUGCUCCGUGUUCUCGGUUAAUCGUAAGUCCGGAUCGAGUUCCGGUUAUUGUAUGUUACAAUUCAAGCUGUUUCGGUUGCUGCGAAAGUGGAUAAAGCUGAGGUUACGGUUGCUGCUGUCGCUGGCCGAGGAAAAAGGGGUUUUUGACGCGUUUUGAUUUUGCGAGUUUCGACUUUGAGGAUAAUUUUUUUUGGACUGGUAAAGACAAAAGGAGUUGACUAGUUGUUGUGGCACCCUGUAUAAGAUGGGAUGUGUCUUAUAAUGAGUUUGGUUAUCUAAAUGUAUUAUUUUGAUGUGUUCUUUACUUUUUGAUAAGAGACUUUAUCCGAUAUUAUAUGUAAUGGAUAAAUUACACUCUAUUUUGAUUAGUGUUGUAAUGAAUAUCUAAUUUUUAAUGAAACUUUUAUGAUUUGGAUUUA